CAGGAAGUAGCUGAUGUCAAAGGAUAGACUAGGCAGCUCAGCUUUUGCUCAUGGAUGUCUAAGAAAGUGCAUUAAUUAUGUCAAUUGAGGAAUGCUUCAAUAAGGAACGUAAAGAUUGCAUGAGAGGCUGAGAUUGAAGAUCAUCCAGGCUGUGUUCUCUUCUCCUGGAGCCAAACCCCCCCAGACUGAAGUCAGUGAUCAGGCUCUUCACCCCACCAUGCAGGGCUAGGAACCCUCCAUGUUCAGGACCCCUCCCAGAGCUGGCAUCUCAGCCUGUGGAUCUUCUCUUCUAUCCUGGCUGUAUGCUGGCUCUUCUCCUGCACCUCCUUCUGAUUCCUGACCUCCUCUGAGAGACACACGAUCAACUCCACAGUUAACACAAAGAAACACAGAAAAAUGUGUGUCGCAUUGUAUAAUGAUAGAAGACAGGCACAGGAAUACGAAAAUCUAGCUACCAGUCUGUAAGAAGCCGCCAGAGCUGUCAGUCUACAUGGAGCAGCCAGAGCCGCCAGUCAGCAUGGAGCAGCCAGAGUCGCCAGUCAGCAUGGAGCAGCCAGAUCCAUCAGUCUGCCAGGAUCCGCCAGUCAGCCAGACUCUUCCAGAUCCGCCAGUCAACCAGACUCUUCCAGAUCCGCCAGUCAACCAGACUCUUCCAGAUCCGCCAGUCA